GACGAACGCUGGCGGCGUGCUUAACACAUGCAAGUCGAACGGAAAGGCCCUGCUUUUGUGGGGUGCUCGAGUGGCGAACGGGUGAGUAACACGUGAGUAACCUGCCCUUGACUUUGGGAUAACUUCAGGAAACUGGGGCUAAUACCGGAUAGGAGCUCCUGCUGCAUGGUGGGGGUUGGAAAGUUUCGGCGGUUGGGGAUGGACUCGCGGCUUAUCAGCUUGUUGGUGGGGUAGUGGCUUACCAAGGCUUUGACGGGUAGCCGGCCUGAGAGGGUGACCGGCCACAUGGGGACUGAGGUACGGCCCAGACGCCUACGGGAGGCAGCAGUGGGGAAUAUUGCACAAUGGGCGGAAGCCUGAUGCAGCAACGCCGCGUGCGGGAUGACGGCCUUCGGGUUGUAAACCGCUGUCGCCUGUGACGAAGCGUGAGUGACGGUAAUGGGUAAAGAAGCACCGGCUAACUACGUG
rnacentral:rRNA from 1 species